UACGGUGGGGGCAAGCGUUGUUCGGAAUUACUGGGCGUAAAGGGCUCGUAGGUGGCCAACUAAGUCAGACGUGAAAUCCCUCGGCUUAACCGGGGAACUGCGUCUGAUACUGGAUGGCUUGAGUUUGGGAGAGGGACGCGGAAUUCCAGGUGUAGCGGUGAAAUGCGUAGAUAUCUGGAGGAACACCGGUGGCGAAGGCGGCGUCCUGGACCAACACUGACACUGAGGAGCGAAAGCCAGGGGAGCAAACGGG
rnacentral:rRNA from 1 species